AUCAUCACAAAUAUUGUUAUAAAAAAAUGAAGGGUAUCUUGGCCUAUCAAUAUUAAGUGAAUGCUGUACAUUUUAAUGAGUCAUAAAACUUUUCGAUACUGCUUUUUUUCUAAUGAUGGUUUAAAAUGUUGUUGAUAACCGAGGU
rnacentral:sRNA from 1 species